CUCCCCCACACCCUCCUGCAACCCUGCCAGACGCUCAGGCUUCCAAAGCAAGUUUAACCAAUAUCCCUGCAUUGCCACGCCUCUUCAGGCAAGUCAGCUUCUCCCCGCUGGGCCUCAGUUUCACCAUCUAGAAAAUGACUGGGGGAUUGGCCCAGCUGAUCUUUGAGGUCCCUUGGAGCUCUGAACCGAGGGUUGUUUUCCCAUCUGUAACCUCAUUAGGAUGUCCACACCAGCGGGCUCCACACGCACAUGCGCUCCGGCAGGUUCCCCUCGGGGACACACACGCACACUGGCAUUGCCCCCUGGCCACACGCUCACGCACACAGUCGCAGCUGUGCCUUUUAAUAUUUAAUGCCAUUGCUGCAAACGCCGCUCCACGCUGACUGCAUCCGUGCCAGGCUCAUUCCUCUCAGGGCGCCAAUUCCCGGCUUGGAGACCAGCUGACAAAUCUUGUUAAAAACCUUCCAGCCCAGUGCAUCUCUCGGAGGAGGGUAAUGUCACGUGCUUGCGAGAUGAGCGAAUGGGUGUCAUUACCAGGCAGCUCCAUUUUCAACGAGGCUCUUUCCACUUGGGGAAAUGGAUGGAAUCACCUAUUGCGUUGGACUGACCUGCUCUCUGGCUUGCAGAAGUCACGGCUCUGGGUGGCACCAAGGCACGAAAUGACACGGACACCUGGCCUGUGUGGGGGCCUUUGUCUGUCCCUCUCUCCCUGCUCCUCCACAGUCAGUAUCCACACUAUGGUUUGAAUGUAUGUAUCUUUCCGACAUUCAUAUGGUUGGAACAUAAACCCCAAGGCAAUGGUAUGAGAAGUUGGGGGGGGCCUUUGGGAGUUGAUUAGGUCAUGAAGGCUCCACCCUUGUGAACGGGAUUAAUGCCCUUAUAGCAAUAAAAGAGCAGGAGGGAACUAGUUAGGCUCAUUGUGAUCUUCCACUCUUCUACCACAUGAGGACACAGUGUUUGUCCCCUCCAGAGGGCAUGGCAAGGCCCCAUCUCGGAAGCAGAGAGAGUCCACACCAGACACUGAAUCUGUUGGCGUCUUGAUCUUGGACUUCCAAUCCUCUAAAACUGUGAGAAAUACAUUUCUAUGGUUUGUAAAUUACUCCAUCGGUGGCAUUUUGUUGUACCAGCAGGAAGGGACUAUGACAUACACCACGGAGGCCACUGCUGCUACAGUGGCUAGCAGAGAGGAUCAUGGGUGGUUCCAGCUCUCAUGCCAGCAAAGGGUCUCAUCCCUGACCCCUAGUCCAGUAUGCUGUGGUCUCCAAGCCCACAGAAAGGCCCUCCCUCCAAACCCCAGCUUUCAGAGUCUAAGGGGCUGACAAAAGGUUAAGGGCUCUAGUUCUGGUCUGAGCUGGGACAGGUGAGCAGGCUACUGUGCAAGAGCUGCUAAAUGCAGAGUCCCCAGGUAUCGAGGUUACCCGGAAAAGUUGGCCUUCCCAAAGCUGCAGUAGGAUCAGCAUGUCCGGUUCAGUGCUGACUGUGCAGGCUUGGGGCCUAUCCCUUGAACUCUGGAAGGGUAUUUGCAAGAUGGACCUCCUGUCCUCAUCUUCCUUCUACCUUUCAGCCUCUUGGUCCUGUGUCACCAGACGGGCUCAGAGCAUUCCUGAGCAACUUUGUGGUUCUGAGCGUCUCUAAGAAACGAGGCCUGGGAGAGGGCAGGGAGGAGGGGAGAGGGGACGGUCAGGUGGGGUGUGGGGGAUUGCAAAACAAAGACACGCUCAUUUGCCAUUUACCAAAGACUUUUUUUUUCUUUUUCUUUUAAAGCUGUUGUUUCCUCAAGGGAAAACUUUAUCUGUGUGUGGGUAAAAUGUUGCUCUCUUAACGAAUCGAAAGCAGAACAUGAGG
rnacentral:lncRNA from 1 species